UCCGGUUUGUCACCGGCAGUCUCAUUAGAGUGCCCAACUGAAUGUAGCAACUAAUGACAAGGGUUGCGCUCGUUGCGGGACUUAACCCAACAUCUCACGACACGAGCUUACGACAGCCAUGCAGCACCUGUGUUCCGAUUCCCUUUCGGGCACCCCUGCAUUUCUGCAGGGUUCCUGGCAUGUCAAGGGUAGGUAAGGUUUCUCGCGUUGCAUCGAAUUAAACCACAUCAUCCACCGCUUGUGCAGGCCCCCGUCAAUUCCUUUGAGUUUCGGUCUUGCGACCGUACUCCCCAGGCGGAGUGUUUCACGCGUUAGCUGGGCCCCUGAUCCACGUAGACCAAGGGCGAACACUCAUCGUUUACGGCAUGGACUAC
rnacentral:misc_RNA from 1 species